rnacentral:rRNA from 1 species
GGUUAAGCGACUAAGCGUACACGGUGGAUGCCCUGGCAGUCAGAGGCGAUGAAGGACGUGCUAAUCUGCGAUAAGCGUCGGUAAGGUGAUAUGAACCGUUAUAACCGGCGAUUUCCGAAUGGGGAAACCCAGUGUGUUUCGACACACUAUCAUUAACUGAAUCCAUAGGUUAAUGAGGCGAACCGGGGGAACUGAAACAUCUAAGUACCCCGAGGAAAAGAAAUCAACCGAGAUUCCCCCAGUAGCGGCGAGCGAACGGGGAGCAGCCCAGAGCCUGAAUCAGUGUGUGUGUUAGUGGAAGCGUCUGGAAAGGCGCGCGAUACAGGGUGACAGCCCCGUACACAAAAAUGCACAUGCUGUGAGCUCGAUGAGUAGGGCGGGACACGUGGUAUCCUGUCUGAAUAUGGGGGGACCAUCCUCCAAGGCUAAAUACUCCUGACUGACCGAUAGUGAACCAGUACCGUGAGGGAAAGGCGAAAAGAACCCCGGCGAGGGGAGUGAAAAAGAACCUGAAACCGUGUACGUACAAGCAGUGGGAGCACGCUUAGGCGUGUGACUGCGUACCUUUUGUAUAAUGGGUCAGCGACUUAUAUUCUGUAGCAAGGUUAACCGAAUAGGGGAGCCGAAGGGAAACCGAGUCUUAACUGGGCGUUAAGUUGCAGGGUAUAGACCCGAAACCCGGUGAUCUAGCCAUGGGCAGGUUGAAGGUUGGGUAACACUAACUGGAGGACCGAACCGACUAAUGUUGAAAAAUUAGCGGAUGACUUGUGGCUGGGGGUGAAAGGCCAAUCAAACCGGGAGAUAGCUGGUUCUCCCCGAAAGCUAUUUAGGUAGCGCCUCGUGAACUCAUCUCCGGGGGUAGAGCACUGUUUCGGCAAGGGGGUCAUCCCGACUUACCAACCCGAUGCAAACUGCGAAUACCGGAGAAUGUUAUCACGGGAGACACACGGCGGGUGCUAACGUCCGUCGUGAAGAGGGAAACAACCCAGACCGCCAGCUAAGGUCCCAAAGUCAUGGUUAAGUGGGAAACGAUGUGGGAAGGCCCAGACAGCCAGGAUGUUGGCUUAGAAGCAGCCAUCAUUUAAAGAAAGCGUAAUAGCUCACUGGUCGAGUCGGCCUGCGCGGAAGAUGUAACGGGGCUAAACCAUGCACCGAAGCUGCGGCAGCGACACUGUGUGUUGUUGGGUAGGGGAGCGUUCUGUAAGCCUGUGAAGGUGUACUGUGAGGUAUGCUGGAGGUAUCAGAAGUGCGAAUGCUGACAUAAGUAACGAUAAAGCGGGUGAAAAGCCCGCUCGCCGGAAGACCAAGGGUUCCUGUCCAACGUUAAUCGGGGCAGGGUGAGUCGACCCCUAAGGCGAGGCCGAAAGGCGUAGUCGAUGGGAAACAGGUUAAUAUUCCUGUACUUGGUGUUACUGCGAAGGGGGGACGGAGAAGGCUAUGUUGGCCGGGCGACGGUUGUCCCGGUUUAAGCGUGUAGGCUGGUUUUCCAGGCAAAUCCGGAAAAUCAAGGCUGAGGCGUGAUGACGAGGCACUACGGUGCUGAAGCAACAAAUGCCCUGCUUCCAGGAAAAGCCUCUAAGCAUCAGGUAACAUCAAAUCGUACCCCAAACCGACACAGGUGGUCAGGUAGAGAAUACCAAGGCGCUUGAGAGAACUCGGGUGAAGGAACUAGGCAAAAUGGUGCCGUAACUUCGGGAGAAGGCACGCUGAUAUGUAGGUGAAGUCCCUCGCGGAUGGAGCUGAAAUCAGUCGAAGAUACCAGCUGGCUGCAACUGUUUAUUAAAAACACAGCACUGUGCAAACACGAAAGUGGACGUAUACGGUGUGACGCCUGCCCGGUGCCGGAAGGUUAAUUGAUGGGGUUAGCGCAAGCGAAGCUCUUGAUCGAAGCCCCGGUAAACGGCGGCCGUAACUAUAACGGUCCUAAGGUAGCGAAAUUCCUUGUCGGGUAAGUUCCGACCUGCACGAAUGGCGUAAUGAUGGCCAGGCUGUCUCCACCCGAGACUCAGUGAAAUUGAACUCGCUGUGAAGAUGCAGUGUACCCGCGGCAAGACGGAAAGACCCCGUGAACCUUUACUAUAGCUUGACACUGAACAUUGAGCCUUGAUGUGUAGGAUAGGUGGGAGGCUUUGAAGUGUGGACGCCAGUCUGCAUGGAGCCGACCUUGAAAUACCACCCUUUAAUGUUUGAUGUUCUAACGUUGACCCGUAAUCCGGGUUGCGGACAGUGUCUGGUGGGUAGUUUGACUGGGGCGGUCUCCUCCUAAAGAGUAACGGAGGAGCACGAAGGUUGGCUAAUCCUGGUCGGACAUCAGGAGGUUAGUGCAAUGGCAUAAGCCAGCUUGACUGCGAGCGUGACGGCGCGAGCAGGUGCGAAAGCAGGUCAUAGUGAUCCGGUGGUUCUGAAUGGAAGGGCCAUCGCUCAACGGAUAAAAGGUACUCCGGGGAUAACAGGCUGAUACCGCCCAAGAGUUCAUAUCGACGGCGGUGUUUGGCACCUCGAUGUCGGCUCAUCACAUCCUGGGGCUGAAGUAGGUCCCAAGGGUAUGGCUGUUCGCCAUUUAAAGUGGUACGCGAGCUGGGUUUAGAACGUCGUGAGACAGUUCGGUCCCUAUCUGCCGUGGGCGCUGGAGAACUGAGGGGGGCUGCUCCUAGUACGAGAGGACCGGAGUGGACGCAUCACUGGUGUUCGGGUUGUCAUGCCAAUGGCACUGCCCGGUAGCUAAAUGCGGAAGAGAUAAGUGCUGAAAGCAUCUAAGCACGAAACUUGCCCCGAGAUGAGUUCUCCCUGACUCCUUGAGAGUCCUGAAGGAACGUUGAAGACGACGACGUUGAUAGGCCGGGUGUGUAAGCGCAGCGAUGCGUUGAGCUAACCGGUACUAAUGAACCGUGAGGCUUAACCUU